UUAAAGGCGUUGAAGAAGAGGAGUAAAAUAUUAUCCCACAAAGAGAGAGAAACUUUUAAGCUGUGAGGUUUCUUGUGUAAGAUGUAUUUGAAGGUAGCUUUGGAGCUAGUAUGCUGAAGUAGUUUAAUGUGUAGGUAUACUCCGUAUACAAUCGGUUAAUUUGUAAAAAGUGCGUAUAUUUUUGUAUACGAAAUAAGGUGGUACCGCGAAUUACAGUCAUUCGUCCUUAUA
rnacentral:ncRNA from 1 species